rnacentral:tRNA from 1 species
UAUGUUYUAGUAUAACAAGAGUACUUAGAUGUUUGAGAUCUAGAGUUCAAACAUAA